UACGUAGGGUGCGAGCGUUAAUCGGAAUUACUGGGCGUAAAGCGUGCGCAGGCGGUGAUGUAAGACCGAUGUGAAAUCCCCGGGCUUAACCUGGGAACUGCAUUGGUGACUGCAUCGCUCGAGUAUGGCAGAGGGGGGUAGAAUUCCACGUGUAGCAGUGAAAUGCGUAGAGAUCGGCAGGAACACCCAGGGGGAAACCAGUCGACUGGGCAUCUACUGACGCUGAGGUGCGAGAGCGUGGGGAGCGAACCGG
rnacentral:rRNA from 1 species